rnacentral:rRNA from 1 species
AGAGAGAGACAUGCGCGCAUAUCAAUAAGCGGAGGAAAAGAAACUAACAAGGAUUCCCUUAGUAACGGCGAGUGAAGCGGGAAGAGCUCAAAUUUGAAAUCUUCAAGGUUUUACCUUGACGAAUUGUAGUUUAAAGAAGUGUUUUCUGUUGGAGUUUUGGUAAAAGUUCUUUGGAAUAGGACAUCAUAGAGGGUGAGAAUCCCGUAUUUGACCAUUAUUUUCAGCUGUGUGAUACACUUUCAAAGAGUCGGAUUGUUUGGGAAUGCAGUCCAAAAUGGGUGGUAAAUUUCAUCUAAAGCUAAAUAUUGGCGAGAGACCGAUAGCGAACAAGUACCGUGAGGGAAAGAUGAAAAGAACUUUGAAAAGAGAGUUAAACAGUACGUGAAAUUGUCAAAAGGGAAGCGUUUGACACCAGUGUUGUUUUUCCGAAAAUCAAUUACGAAUGUUUUGUUUUUAAGAAGUUAUGACUUCAUCGGCUUGCUCCUUUCUUUACGAAACUUUCUUAAUGCACUUUUCGGUUAACAAGUCAACAUCAAUUUCUUUUGUUGUAAAAGGGUAUGAGGAAGGUGGCUUUCUUUUCGGAGAAAGUGUUUAUAGCCUUGUGCCUUCUGCAAUCGGAGAGAUUGAGGUCUGCAGCGUAGAUCCUUCGGGGUUAGAUACAUUUGUGCUAAGUUAUAGCUUUUCAUAGACAACUUGUUGACUAUGUUUAGUCUUGUAGCUUACUCGCUUACUGCUAUUUUACCUACGCUUAGGAUGUUGACAGCAGUAUAGACUGU